rnacentral:lncRNA from 1 species
UGAACAUCAUCUGAUAUACGUGGCUUGGCGAUAAUAAGAUAAAGUACCACUUUGUCACAUUGCUUUCUAGGCUGUAGGAUUGGUAGUUGAUCGCCAUCUGAUGCAAAAAGUAUGACCUUAAGCUUUCUUCGCUUAUCAACCAGUUAUAUCAGCUAAAUGAGAAAUGAGCUCUCCAGAUAUAUGCCUUAGGUACCUGAUGACUCACUAUAAUGCCUCAAGAAGAUCUGGUACUCCCAAGUCCAAGAAUUAUGAGAAAACUCAUAUCCUUCAUCUGCAUCAUAUGCCAAAAUUCGAUUCACUUGAAUAAUGCUUGCAUCAUCACACUCAAAACUUUAUCCUCCCCAUAAACAAGCAAUAUAGCUAUCUCACCUAAUGAAAGUGAAAUGUCUCGUUAUGGGCAUAGUUUUUGGAAGCGGGAGCUAUUUAUGAAUUGAAAGUGGGGAAUCACGAGGCUAGAAGCUUCCUACGGUUAGGAAGUGCCAUCCAGACAAUGCAUAUCUUACAAAUCAAGAUUCUUAACUUUUGGAACUUGCUCCCUCAACUACUUGGAACUGAGCUAGAAAUAACUAAGUAACGAGAUCCACAAGGCCAAAGGUUCGAGGUUCUAGAGUAUGCUUAACCAAGAAUCCCUUAGUACUGGAAUCAAUGUAAUGAGUAUGCUUAGCCAAGGUAUCCUAGUAUUGGAAUCGAGGCCGACUGCCCUAAACAUCGAGACCCCUAAAUAGUUGUAUUCAAUAUAUCAAUUUUGGGUUUCGCAUAAGGUAUUGUAUCUCAUAACAG